AAGUAAAGGACUAAAGUGUAAGGUUUAGUCACAUUUUGUAUCAAGAUCAAGAAUCCAAAGAAGAACGAGGAAAAGAAAAAGUAAAGGACUAAAGUGUAAGGUUUAGUCACAUUUUGUAUCAAGUACUUAUCUAGUCACUCGGGGAUCGAAGGAAAUGUCGGAGGCCGAUCACACUAUCAAAGAAAUAACUCGGUAUAACUAGACGUUUUGUUUUGGGUAUGGCAUGUAUAGAAACUUAGCUACUUUUGGUAUAAUAUGAAUAAUGAAUGAUGUGUAAA